AUGAAAGCAAGACUGAAGAGGCAUAUUGCUGUUGUCACUAGUGCUCGUGCUGAACCUCAGGAAAACUAUGAUAUGUUCACUACACCUAAAACAUCAAUUCGGGAGUCUAUUGCAUCAAAUGCCACAUAUUUUGCAAUGGUCCGCGGGCAAGGAUAUGAUGGGGCUAGUAACAUGAAAGGCUAUUCUUGUAAAAAGAUGAGAAUUCUUCAAAUAUCUCAAGCUGAGGAACUUAUUGCUGCAUUAGACUUGAAGGAAGUAGAAACCAAGAGAUGUUUGAAUCAAGAAAUGGGUCUUGGAAGGCCAUGUGCUACUCAUUGGGGAUCUCACUACAUGACUAUCGACCAUGUUAUAUCUAUGUAUCCUGCAAUAAGAAUGUAG
rnacentral:rRNA from 1 species